GACGAACGCUGGCGGCGUGCUUAACACAUGCAAGUCGAACGGAAAGGCUCUGCUUUUGUGGGGUGCUCGAGUGGCGAACGGGUGAGUAACACGUGAGUAACCUGCCCUUGACUUUGGGAUAACUUCAGGAAACUGGGGCUAAUACCGGAUAGGAGCUCCUGCUGCAUGGUGGGGGUUGGAAAGUUUCGGCGGUUGGGGAUGGACUCGCGGCUUAUCAGCUUGUUGGUGGGGUAGUGGCUUACCAAGGCUUUGACGGGUAGCCGGCCUGAGAGGGUGACCGGCCACAUUGGGACUGAGAUACGGCCCAGACUCCUACGGGAGGCAGCAGUGGGGAAUAUUGCACAAUGGGCGGAAGCCUGAUGCAGCAACGCCGCGUGCGGGAUGACGGCCUCCGGGUUGUAAACCGCUUUCGCCUGUGACGAAGCGUGAGUGACGGUAAUGGGUAAAGAAGCACCGGCUAACUACGUG
rnacentral:rRNA from 1 species